rnacentral:tRNA from 1 species
GUGGUCGCGGCCGGGGCCGGGCGGCACCUGCUCCAGGAGCAGGUCGACGACGCGCGGCAGGAAGCGCAGACGGGGUUCGGUGCCGCCCGUCCGCA